rnacentral:rRNA from 1 species
AACGAACGCUGGCGGCAUGCCUAACACAUGCAAGUCGAACGAGACCUUCGGGUCUAGUGGCGCACGGGUGCGCAACGCGUGGGAACCUGCCCUUAGGUUCGGAAUAACUCCCCGAAAGGGGUGCUAAUACCGGAUAAUGUCUUCGGACCAAAGAUUUAUCGCCUUUGGAUGGGCCCGCGUUGGAUUAGCUAGUUGGUAGGGUAAAAGCCUACCAAGGCGACGAUCCAUAGCUGGUCUGAGAGGAUGAUCAGCCACACUGGGACUGAGACACGGCCCAGACUCCUACGGGAGGCAGCAGUGGGGAAUAUUGGACAAUGGGCGAAAGCCUGAUCCAGCAAUGCCGCGUGAGUGAUGAAGGCCUUAGGGUUGUAAAGCUCUUUUACCCGGGAUGAUAAUGACAGUACCGGGAGAAUAAGCUCCGACUAACUCCGUG